UUAUUGGGCGUAAAGCGCGCGCAGGCGGCCUUUUAAGUCUGAUGUGAAAGCCCACGGCUCAACCGUGGAGGGUCAUUGGAAACUGGAAGGCUUGAGUGCAGAAGAGAAGAGCGGAAUUCCACGUGUAGCGGUGAAAUGCGUAGAGAUGUGGAGGAACACCAGUGGCGAAGGCGGCUCUUUGGUCUGUAACUGACGCUGAGGCGCGAAAGCGUGGGGAGCGAACAGGAUUAGAUACCCUGGUAGUCCACGCCGUAAACGAUGAGUGCUAAGUGUUGGGGGGUUUCCGCCCCUCAGUGCUGCAGCUAACGCAUUAAGCACUCCGCCUGGGGAGUACGGCCGCAAGGCUGAAACUCAAAGGAAUUGACGGGGGCCCGCACAAGCGGUGGAGCAUGUGGUUUAAUUCGAAGCAACGCGAAGAACCUUACCAGGUCUUGACAUCCCGCUGACCGGUCUGGAGACAGAUCUUCCCCUUCGGGGGCAGCGGUGACAGGUGGUGCAUGGUUGUCGUCAGCUCGUGUCGUGAGAUGUUGGGUUAAGUCCCGCAACGAGCGCAACCCUUGAUCUUAGUUGCCAGCAUUUAGUUGGGCACUCUAAGGUGACUGCCGGUGACAAACCGGAGGAAGGUGGGGAUGACGUCAAAUCAUCAUGCCCCUUAUGACCUGGGCUACACACGUGCUACAAUGGAUGGUACAAAGGGCUGCAAGACCGCGAGGUUUAGCCAAUCCCAUAAAACCAUUCUCAGUUCGGAUUGCAGGCUGCAACUCGCCUGCAUGAAGCUGGAAUCGCUAGUAAUCGCGGAUCAGCAUGCCGCGGUGAAUACGUUCCC
rnacentral:rRNA from 1 species